rnacentral:rRNA from 1 species
GUCUACGACCAUGCCAUCUUGAGCACACCGGAUCUCGGCUGAUCUCAGAAGCUAAGCAGAGUUGGGCCUGGAUAGUACUUGGAUGGGAGAACACCUAGGUGCUGUAGGCU